ACCUGGCUGGCUCAGUUGGAAGAGUGUGUGACUCUUGAUCUCAGAGUUAUGAGUUCGAACUCUGUGUUAGGUG
rnacentral:tRNA from 1 species